UCUCAGGAAAGAACCUAGGAGUGGAGGUUAAGCUUGGAGGGUUCCCAUUUGCCUCUUGAAACAGCCAUCCGUUAUCAAGAUUAAUGAGCAUGACUAGGGUUGAACUGGGAACCAGCAGCCAGAGACAGCUCAUGCAUCCAGUUGUGUGAGAGUCAACAGAGUCAGGCCUAUCAGCAUAUUUAAAAGGAACAACCUUGCUGUUGUAUGGAUAACUAAUGGGAGGGAGGGAAAUAUUUUAAAAUGCCAAGGCCACUGUACCAGUUUAAAUUAUUUUAUAAUUUUCUUUAGCAGUAUUCACCUGGUUGAGUACCAGAAUGGAGAGGAAGAAUGCUGGAGGCAGAUGAAGAUGGAAGAGACUGGAAAGGAUGUGGCCAGUGCGGAGGCUUGACCUCAUCUCCUGUACUUGGCUUCGCUCUGACAUGCUGUUCUCCCACACUCUUGCCCUGUUUUCUCCGUCAUCAGCUGGCCAGCUCUCACCAGGGGCCAAGCCAAGAGGAGGCAACCGCAGGUGCCCUUGUAGCCGCCUCCAGUGUUGGCAACCGAAGCCUGCCCCUGCCAGGUCCCAUGCCCGGUGGGGCUGCGAGGCUCACCCGAACAUAACAAUUCAUUUACAGAUCAUAUAAAUACAUGAAAGAGCCGGUCAUUUGUGGGGUUCCCAGUUGGCAAUGACCCCACUGCACCCCAGCCAAAUGAGGCCGAGGAAGGUGAGCUGAUGAUCCAAGUACACUAUCCAUCUCUAGCAUUGGUGCAAUCACAGUAACACAGUUGCGCCUACUUGUUGUUGUUGUUGUUGUUGUUUUUUUUUUUUUUUUUUUUUUUGUUUUUUUUUUUUUUUUUUUUUUUUUUUUUUUUUUAAGUAGAUCUAAUUCCUUAGCCGUGUCCCUGAUGCCGCGACAGCUCUAAUUUCCUUUGGUGGGAGGACAUCAGAGACUAGAAGGGAUCAGGGGACAUUUUAUUUGGGGAGGGGCAGACUCAGUUUCCAGGCGACCUAUUAACAGAAGACAAAAUACUUCCCAGCGGUUGCGCCAAUAACAACAGCAGCAAUUGUAAUAGUAACGACAAUGGCUAAAUACUAAAUAUUUAUACUAAAGCGCAGUAAAGCCUGAAUCUACCAGGCGACCCCCGCCCCCGCCCCCGGCCCAGGGGUCCUCCUGUCAGCCCUCUCACUCUGGCCGGUCUCAGCGCACAAACUGGCUCUGGCGCUGCCUCCAGGCUGCCCUCCAGGUUCCAACCCCCACCCCCGCCCCCAAGGUGGGUAGCCCUGCUGAGCGUCCUGCUUCAGCCUAAGUCCAGCCCACAGUCUCUCCUGCUGCCAAGGGGCUGGGACUCCGAGGUACCGUUUCUUUCACAAACCUGCAACUUUCCCCCUCUCCGCCCCGCUCGCAGCC
ensembl:lncRNA